GCAGCACGGGGGCAACCCUGGUGGCGAGUGGCGAACGGGUGAGUAAUACAUCGGAACGUGCCCUGUCGUGGGGGAUAACUAGUCGAAAGAUUAGCUAAUACCGCAUACGACCUGAGGGUGAAAGCGGGGGACCGUAAGGCCUCUCGCGACAGGAGCGGCCGAUGUCUGAUUAGCUAGUUGGUGGGGUAAAAGCCUACCAAGGCGACAAUCAGUAGCUGGUCUGAGAGGACGAUCAGCCACACUGGGACUGAGACACGGCCCACACUCCUACGGGAGGCAGCAGUGGGGAAUUUUGGACAAUGGGGGCAACCCUGAUCCACCAAUGCCGCGUGUGUGAAGAAAGCCUUCGGGUUGUAAAGCACUUUUGUCCGGAAAGAAAUGGCUCUGGUUAAUACCCGGGGUCGAUGACAGUACCGGAAGAAUAAGCACCGGCUAACUACGUGCCAGCAGCCGCGGUAAUACGUAGGGUGCGAGCGUUAAUCGGAAUUACUGGGCGUAAAGCGUGCGCACGCGGUUUUGUAAGACAGGCGUGAAAUCCC
rnacentral:rRNA from 2 species